rnacentral:rRNA from 1 species
UGGCGGCGUGGUUAAGACAUGCAAGUCGAACGAGAGAAUUGCUAGCUUGCUAAUAAUUCUCUAGUGGCGCACGGGUGAGUAACACGUGAGUAACCUGCCCCCGAGAGCGGGAUAGCCCUGGGAAACUGGGAUUAAUACCGCAUAGAAUCGCAAGAUUAAAGCAGCAAUGCGCUUGGGGAUGGGCUCGCGGCCUAUUAGUUAGUUGGUGAGGUAACGGCUCACCAAGGCGAUGACGGGUAGCCGGUCUGAGAGGAUGUCCGGCCACACUGGAACUGAGACACGGUCCAGACACCUACGGGUGGCAGCAGUCGAGAAUCAUUCACAAUGGGGGAAACCCUGAUGGUGCGACGCCGCGUGGGGGAAUGAAGGUCUUCGGAUUGUAAACCCCUGUCAUGUGGGAGCAAAUUAAAAAGAUAGUACCACAAGAGGAAGAGACGGCUAACUCUGUGCCAGCAGCCGCGGUAAUACAGAGGUCUCAAGCGUUGUUCGGAAUCACUGGGCGUAAAGCGUGCGUAGGCUGUUUCGUAAGUCGUGUGUGAAAGGCGCGGGCUCAACCCGCGGACGGCACAUGAUACUGCGAGACUAGAGUAAUGGAGGGGGAACCGGAAUUCACGGUGUAGCA